GUUCUAUUGAUUUUUUAUUUUAGAUUUAACCUGCUCUAUGAUUAUUUUAUUAAAUGGCUGCGGUAUUUUAACUGUACUAAGGUAGCAUAAUAAUUUGUCUUUUAAUUGAAGGCUAGAAUGAAUGGUUUGAUGAGAAAUUGACUUUUUUAGGAAAAUAUUUUGAAUUUGAUUUUUUAGUUAAAAAGCUAAAAUUUUUCUAUAGGACGAGAAGACCCUAUAGAAUUUUAUUUAAAUUAAUUAUUUUUGGUUUUUGUUUAUUAUUUUUUAAUUUUUAAUUUAAAUUUUGUUGGGGUGAUAUAGAAAUAUUUUUGACUUUUUAUUUUUAUUUUCAUUAAUUUGUGUUUUUUUGAUCCUGAUUUUUGGAUUAUAAGAUUAAAUUACCUUAGGGAUAACAGCGUUAUUUUUUCGGAGAGUUCAUAUUGAUGAAAAAGUUUGCGA
rnacentral:rRNA from 1 species